rnacentral:rRNA from 1 species
AAAGAAAAUAACAAUGAUUCCCUCAGUAACGGCGAGCGAAGAGGGAUAAGCUCAAAUUUUAAAUCUGUUGGGUUCCACUUAACAGAGUUGUAUUUUGAAGAAACGUUUUCUGCAUCCAGGAUUAGCCUAAAUCCUUUGGGAUAAGGUAUCAUGGAGGGUGAGAAUCCCGUUCAUGGUUAAUCUUAAGGAAGCUCUACGAUACGUUUUCCAAGAGUCGAGUUGUUUGGGAUUGCAGCUCAAAAUGGGAGGUAAAUUUCUCCUAGGGCUAAAUAUUGGCGAGAGACCGAUAGCGAACAAGUACCGUGAGGGAAAGAUGAAAAGAACUUUGAAAAGAGAGUUAAACAGUACGUGAAAUUGUUGAAAGGGAAACGAUUGAAG